CUAAGUUUGAUGGCGACCGGCGCACGGGUGAGUAACNCGUAUCCAACCUGCCGAUGACUCGGGGAUAGCCUUUCGAAAGAAAGAUUAAUACCCGAUGGCAUAGUUCUUCCGCAUGGUAGAACUAUUAAAGAAUUUCGGUCAUCGAUGGGGAUGCGUUCCAUUAGGUUGUUGGCGGGGUAACGGCCCACCAAGCCUUCGAUGGAUAGGGGUUCUGAGAGGAAGGUCCCCCACAUUGGAACUGAGACACGGUCCAAACUCCUACGGGAGGCAGCAUG
rnacentral:rRNA from 1 species